rnacentral:rRNA from 1 species
CUACGGGUGGCUCCAGUGGGGAAUAUUGCACAAUGGGCGCAAGCCUGAUGCAGCCAUGCCGCGUGUAUGAAGAAGGCCCUCGGGUUGUAAAGUACUUUCAGCGGGGAGGAAGGGAGUAAAGUUAAUACCUUUGCUCAUUGACGUUACCCGCAGAAGAAGCACCGGCUAAGUCCGUGCCAGCAGCCGCGGUAAUACGGAGGGUGCAAGCGUUAAUCGGAAUUACUGGGCGUAAAGCGCACGCAGGCGGUUUGUUAAGUCAGAUGUGAAAUCCCCGGGCUCAACCUGGGAACUGCAUCUGAUACUGGCAAGCUUGAGUCUCGUAGAGGGGGGUAGAAUUCCAGGUGUAGCGGUGAAAUGCGUAGAGAUCUGGAGGAAUACCGGUGGCGAAGGCGGCCCCCUGGACGAAGACUGACGCUCAGGUGCGAAAGCGUGGGGAGCAAACAGGAUUAGAUACCCGCGUAGUC